rnacentral:rRNA from 1 species
AUUGAACGCUGGCGGCAGGCCUAACACAUGCAAGUCGAACGAGUGGCGGACGGGUGAGUAAUGUCUGGGAAACUGCCUGAUGGCGGGGGAUAACUACUGGAAACGGUAGCUAAUACCGCAUACCAUCGGAUGUGCCGAGAUGGGAUUAGCUAGUAGGUGGGGUAACGGCUCACCUAGGCGACGAUCCCUAGCUGGUCUGAGAGGAUGACCAGACACACUGGACCUGGGCCAGGGUCCAGACGCCUACGGGAGGCAGCGGUGGGGAAUAUUGCACAAUGGGCGCAAGCCUGAUGCAGCCAUGCCGCGUGUAUGAAGAAGGCCUUCGGGUUGUAAAGUACGCUCAGCGGGUAGGCGUUACCCGCAGAAGAAGCACCGGCUAACUCCGUGCCAGCAGCCGCGGUAAUUC